GGUUUGAGGCACUUGUCGCAGAAAAAAAUCCUAUAUAUAGACUUAGGGGUCGACCAUUUGAUAUUCUGGGGGAGGGGGCAGGUGGAUUUGUUUUUGAUCGGUUAUUUAUUUUUGUAAUCUAAGAGGACAAAUUAUUCAUUUUCUGCACUAGUGAAGCAAGAUUUUUCAUUAAAGCAAGGGACUGAUUAUUCAUUUUCACAACUGUUUUUAUGAUAUUCGAAAAACAUACAAUUUUCAAAUGAUUUUUUUA
rnacentral:lncRNA from 1 species